CUAUAUUUACUGAAAUUUGGAUUAUCGAGUUCGCUUCUCUGCGCGCUUAAUUUACAGAUUCGGAGACGCAAGUAAUCCUCUUGACGACAGACUGUUUUUAUUCUUGAAAGAGAUACUCAGAACACCACCGAAUUCCGAUAACCCUAGGUACCUUCUCUGUAAUCUUAGUCGUGGGUGCUAGCUCCAAGGAUCUGAACAUGAACCCUCACGACAACAGAUAUGCAGACUCGACUUCUUAUCGUAACCGCAGGAGUGAUUUACUUGGAUCUAUGCCGCCUAUGGUCCCUCCAGUGAUUGGCGGUGCCAGCUCGAGCUACGGCCGGGGAGGUCCUGCCUCCUAUGGUCCUUCACCGGUUGGUUAUAAUAUGGGAGGAAGAGGUGCUGGGAGUGCUCUUGGAGCGGCACCUGCCCCAAACUAUAGUGAGUUGCCGUCGUUCAUGCCGCCUCCUGGAGGCUUUGAUAUAGGGCGUGGUGGUGUCUCUAGCCAAAGGGGGUUCGGCGGUAGACUUGGAAACGGUCCUGUUGGUGAUAGAAAAGACGACGUAGGUCGUCGCGGCAGUGGAAGAGAUCGGGGCAGCAGUUUGAUUGGAGGUCGGGGAAGUGGUAGAUUUGGUGGAGCUCACGGCGAAAAGACCUCUGGGAGAGGAAGUGGGGCUGGAGGUAGAGGUUUUGGUGGAAGCGCAGGAUUUGGCCGUGGACGUGGCCGUGGCCGUGGCGAUGGCGGUGGGGUUAGAGGAGGAAGACAUGGUGGAUCUUCCAAGGAUGACUUGGACACCAUAGCACUCCCCAAGCAAGAUUUUAGAAAUUUGGUUCCCUUUGAGAAGAAUUUUUACAUCGAAAGCCCAUCGGUGCGGGCAAUGUCUGAUCAUGAACUUAUGGUUUACCGUGCCAGUAGGGAGAUCACAGUGCAAGGGCAUGACAUUCCUAAACCAAUUCGAACGUUUCAAGAUGCAAAUUUUCCUGAUUACUGCCUUGAGGUGAUUGCCAAAUUGGGUUUUGUGGAGCCUACACCAAUUCAGGCUCAAGGUUGGCCUAUGGCUCUGAAGGGUAGGGAUUUGGUUGGCAUUGCGGAGACUGGCUCAGGAAAAACACUCGCGUAUCUGCUUCCUGCUUUAGUGCAUAUCAGUGCACAACCUCGAUUGGUACAAGGUGAAGGUCCUAUUGUCUUAGUUCUAGCUCCAACUAGAGAGUUAGCUGUUCAAAUUCAGGAAGAAACUGUAAAAUUUGGUUCUCGAGCAAAUAUUAGAAGUACUUGUGUCUAUGGUGGUGCCCCAAAGGGACCUCAAAUUCGUGAUCUUAAAAGAGGUGUUGAAAUUGUUAUUGCUACACCUGGUCGCCUAAUAGAUAUGUUGGAAGCUCAGCACACAAAUCUGCGAAGAGUGACUUACCUUGUGUUGGAUGAAGCUGACCGAAUGCUGGACAUGGGCUUUGAACCUCAGAUAAGAAAAAUUGUUGGGCAGAUCCGGCCUGAUAGACAGACAUUGUACUGGAGUGCAACAUGGCCAAGAGAGGUUGAAACUCUGGCAAGACAGUUUCUACGCAAUCCAUAUAAGGUAAUUAUUGGAUCAGCAGAUUUGAAAGCAAAUCAAUCUAUAAAUCAGGUUGUUGAAGUUUUAACAGAAGUGGAGAAAUAUAAUAGAUUGAUCAGACUGCUUAACGAGCUGAUGGAUGGGAGUCGAAUUCUUAUAUUUAUCGAGACAAAAAAGGGUUGUGAUCAAGUUACAAGACAAUUGAGGACGGAUGGCUGGCCUGCACUUUCUAUCCAUGGUGAUAAAAACCAGGCCGAAAGGGACUGGGUCUUGGCUGAAUUUAAGAGUGGCAGAAGUCCAAUAAUGACUGCCACUGAUGUCGCUGCACGGGGUCUUGGUAGGAUCACUGUGUGUUAGGAAUGUUAGGCUUUUGGGAUUGGGCUAAAAAUUUAGAGACAGCCCAUCCACAGUUAAGGAGCUGGUUGUCUCUGCAGCCUGGUUGACUCAUGCGUGCUUAGUGGAUAAUUGGAUAUGGGAGGUGGAAAUGAUGGUGAAUCUGCUCCUUAUCCCUGCAAGGUUAAGAUGUGAAGGACAUAAAAUGUGUGAUCAAUUAUGAUUUUCCCUCAAGCCUGGAAGAUUAUGUCCACAGAAUUGGUCGAACAGGUCGUGCAGGGGCUAAAGGAACUGCCUUCACCUUUUUCACUCAUGCAAAUGUCAAGUUUGCCCGGGAUUUGAUCAAGAUCUUGCAAGAUGCUGGCCAGAUCGUGAGUCCUGCUCUAUCUUCAUUGGCUCGGUCAGCUGGUUCUGGUCAAUUUGGAUCUGGGGGAAACUUCCGCUCCAGGGGACGGGGAGGUUAUGGCAACCGAGGUCACAUAUCAGGAUCCAAUUCCAUUCCUCUGGGUUCAAAGAGGCCUUGGUAGUCGGUUUCCGCUGCCUUGGCAUUUUUCUCAUCUCUCUUUUGUUAACUUUAGGGGAUUUGCAGCUGGUAGUUACUUGGAUUACAUUUGAAAGAACGCAUUAAUUGUAGCGUCUCUAAAGAAAUCACUUGCGAUGAUGACUCGGUACGUAGGUAUGGUGGUCUUCAUUGGCUAUCCGAGUUCGACUGUUAUGUAGUAUUGAAUGAAAUUUAUUGCAAGAAAUCAGAGUAUGAGCACAAUAGAUUUGUGGGGAAUCCAGUUUGGUUAAUGGGGAGUUCUUAAAUCAAAUCAGUUGUAAAUAGGUAUGUACUGAAAAAGUGGGUUUUAUGGCAACAUGCAUUGGUGCUAA